rnacentral:lncRNA from 1 species
AAAGAGGAAAAAGGAUAAGAAUGUCUAGCCAGUAGAAUUGGGGAAAAGAAGUGCCCAAAAACAAAAAACAACAAAGAAUGUGAAAAAGGGGAAGAAUAUAAUUCAAUAGACGUGAGGCGGCUUUGCUUGCAUUGAAAGGGGACAAUGCCAAUGCAAUGCAAAAUGGGUAAUCCAAAAAGGAGGGGCUUACAGAAAGUUGGCCCCCUUUUCACUUUGGAAUGAAUAUGAUCACCCCCACAGCACUUCCCACUAAUGCACAGCCAUUACGCUAUUGCAAAAUUAUACAUCAUCUACCCAAAAGGCUUCUCCUCUCCUCCC